rnacentral:rRNA from 1 species
UGGGGAAUAUUGCACAAUCGGCGCAAGCCUGAUGCAGCCAUGCCGCGUGUAUGAAGAAGGCCUUCGGGUUGUAAAGUACUUUCAGUCGGGAGGAAGGUGGUAAGGUUAAUAACCUUAUCAAUUGACGUUACCGACAGAAGAAGCACCGGCUAACUCCGUGCCAGCAGCCGCGGUAAUACGGAGAGUGCAAGCGUUAAUCGGAAUUACUGGGCGUAAAGCGGACGCAGGCGGUUGAUUGAGUCAGAUGUGAAAUCCCCGGGCUUAACCCGGGAAUUGCAUCUGAUACUGGUCAGCUGGAGUCUUGUGGAGGGGGGUAGAAUUCCAUGUGUAGCGGUGAAAUGCGUAGAGAUGUGGAGGAGUACCGGUGGCGAAGGCGGCCCCCUGGACAAAGACUGACUCUCAGGUGCGAAAGCGUGGGGAGCAAACAGG